CACUCCUACGGGAGGCAGCAGUGGGGAAUAUUGCACAAUGGGCGCAAGCCUGAUGCAGCCAUGCCGCGUGUAUGAAGAAGGCCUUCGGGUUGUAAAGUACUUUCAGCGGGGAGGAAGGCGAUAAGGUUAAUAACCUUGUCGAUUGACGUUACCCGCAGAAGAAGCACCGGCUAACUCCGUGCCAGCAGCCGCGGUAAUACGGAGGGUGCAAGCGUUAAUCGGAAUUACUGGGCGUAAAGCGCACGCAGGCGGUCUGUCAAGUCGGAUGUGAAAUCCCCAGGCUCAACCUGGGAACUGCAUUCGAAACUGGCAGGCUAGAGUCUUGUAGAGGGGGGUAGAAUUCCAGGUGUAGCGGUGAAAUGCGUAGAGAUCUGGAGGAAUACCGGUGGCGAAGGCGGCCCCCUGGACAAAGACUGACGCUCAGGUGCGAAAGCGUGGGGAGCAAACAGGAUUAGAUACCCCGGUAGUCCCA
rnacentral:rRNA from 1 species